CUGGGAGCAGGCCAGUGUGACUGCACAAGGGUAAGCAAAGCAGAGAAAGGAGAUGAAGAUGGCACUACAGGCCACAAAAAGGAGGUUUACUCCAUAUAUGUGACACCUGAGCAACCAGAAGGAGGAAGGAGAGCAGGGUGAGGCUAUGGAUCCUCAUGGCUUCAGCUUGGUGGAAACCUGUUUGACAAGAGCAGCAGCUCUGAGUUGAGCUGCCUUGUGGAAGUCUCUGGGGAAGACUUUGAUAAGUUGGGCUUGAAUCACCUUCCUGCCAUUGGACUCCUCCACCCUCGCAAAGAGCAGGACUCUGGGGUGAACAGCCCAGCACCUAAACAUGUGGUUGGAUUUACAAAGGAACAGUUGUUCUCUAAGAAGGGAGAGCUGU